UGGGGGCACCCGGGCGGCGG
rnacentral:misc_RNA from 1 species